rnacentral:rRNA from 1 species
CUCAGGAUGAACGCUAGCGGAGGCCUAACACAUGCAAGCCGAGCGGUAUUGUUUCUUCGGAAAUGAGAGAGCGGCGUACGGGUGCGGAACACGUGUGCAACCUGCCUUUAUCUGGGGGAUAGCCUUUCGAAAGGAAGAUUAAUACUCCAUAAUAUAUUGAACGGCAUCGUUUAAUAUUGAAAGCUCCGGCGGAUAGAGAUGGGCACGCGCAAGAUUAGCUAGUUGGUGAGGUAACGGCUCACCAAGGCGAUGAUCUUUAGGGGCCUGAGAGGGUGAUCCCCCACACUGGUACUGAGACACGGACCAGACUCCUACGGGAGGCAGCAGUGAGGAAUAUUGGUCAAUGGGUGCAAGCCUGAACCAGCCAUCCCGCGUGAAGGACGACUGCCCUAUGGGUUGUAAACUUCUUUUGUAUAGGGAUAAACCUACCCUCGUGAGGGUAGCUGAAGGUACUAUACGAAUAAGCACCGGCUAACUCCGUG